ACAUGUUUCAAUCAAAUUAUCUAGGCAUGAAGCAUUACAAAUUAUAUUUAGGAAAGAUCUUUGUUAUUUGAAUAUUGAAAACACAUAAUUCAAAACAUCAUGUCAGAUGCAAAACAUAAUAUGCAUUAAGUCAUAACAUCAUGUAUUAAAAUAUUAAGAGCAAGCAUGUCAAGGAUCAAAAUCAAUUCUUUUCAAAUAAACUCCUCCUAUUUAUAUAUAAUUCUACACUGAUUUUAUCCUUAAGGUGUGUUUUCAAGUGAUCGAAACUUCAUUUGG
rnacentral:lncRNA from 1 species